GACAGAGGUGCCGAGCGUUAGGCGGAAUCACUGGGCUUAAAGCGUGUGUAGGCGGGCCGUUAAGUAUCUUGUGAAAUCCCCCGGCUCAACCGGGGAAUGGCUGGAUAUACUGGCGGUCUUGAGCAGUCUAGGGGCAGAUGGAACAAGUGGUGGAGCGGUGAAAUGCGUAGAUAUCCGGAGGAACACCAAAGGCGAAGGCAGUGUCCUGGGGAGUACCUGACGCUCAGGUGCGAAAGCCAGGGGAGCGAACGGG
rnacentral:rRNA from 1 species